UCGCCGUUCACCAUUCGCGUUCACUCGCCGAUCACCGUUCGGGUUCGGGUUCGUCUGGAAGCCACGUUGCCCUGCUUCAAACUCUGCGACCAACCCGUGCGCUCCACCUAGCCGUCGAACUGCUUUCUUUUGUCGCCGCCCAUGGCACUCUCGGGGCACUUGUCCAAGAUUCUGUUAAGAGCCACUACUAGACCCUGUUUUACUGUGCACCCACCCUCCGCCACUGCCGCUACCCCAGUGCCACCACUAGGCCGCCACCGUGUUGCUCCGGCCAUUCACUCAUCAUCAUCAAUCUUUCCCUUCCCUUCCCCUGUUCCAAUUCCCUGCUUCCCAGGGUGAGAUGUGUUGAAAGUUCAGUGUGUUUGUUCAGGAAGGGAAUGUGCUGAAUAAUUAUAUUAAAAGAUGGAUUUAGGCAUUCUUUUCUUCCUCUUUCACACCCUGCAGGAAUGCUAUUGAUUCCUCUUUAUUCAAGCAAUGGUUGCAUAACUUGCAAAGUGAGAUUGGGAUUCUAGCUGAUGGCACCUUGGCUCUGAGACAAGUUCUAAUUCAGGGUGUAGACAUGUUUGGAAAGCGCAUUGGGUUUCUCAAAUUUAAAGCUGACAUUUAUAAGCCAGUCUAUGUUUCCAUUUUCUUGUGUUAAUUUUAGCAAGGGGCUAUGAACUAAUAGACAUUUUACCUGUUAUGCUCUAUAUAUAUUAUUCAAAAAUAGCUUCUUGUGCUUCAAUAUCCAAAAAUUGGAUUCCUCAUCAUGGCAAGCAAUGUAUUAAUAGUAUUUGAUUCAUAGGCAUACCACAUUCUGAGCUAUGUGGUAUCUAAAAUGCACAACUAUUAGGAUCUUUUGCUUCUUACCUUAUGUUCUCAGGCAUCCAUCAUUCCUCUUUUGCUUGUAA